AAAAGCUCGUUUGAUUCU
rnacentral:snRNA from 1 species